AAAAAGACAGGCCGGAGUUUGAGAUCUACUGCCAACCUCCCUUGCAGAGUUAGGGAACAUUUUACUUGGGGAAAAAAAGGUCUUCUCUUCCUGCAGAGAUCUGCGGCUGUAUCUUCCUGCAGAGCCUGAGCCCUGCCUGGCAGAGUAGGCAAAAAUGCAUCGUGCAUGUUAACCUGGGAAGGCUGUUUCUAGUACCUGAGCUUGAUCACAGAGAGUUCUCAGCUAUUUCUCUGCACAGAACUGCUGUGCCUCAGCCGUGACUCCACACCCGUCUCUGCAGCAUCUUUCAGAGCAGCCCGAUGGUUGUCUUCAUCUUCCUUCAAAAAAUCUUCUGAGACUUCACUUCAAAGACUCACGUACGUGGCAGAUUCAAUGACAGGUUCUCUGCUUUCAUGCCACAGCUUCUGAUUUUGCUCAGCAAUUCCCUAGCUUCUACAAGGCCAGCAGUGAGUCCCAUCAGUGGUACAGCUGUAGGUGCCACCAGCCCUGGUGACAAUGCCUCCACAAGACAACAGCUGCCAGCACAAGGGGCUGUAAACUCCUCCAAGAGCAUUUGAUUGCCAUCCUUCUGGCACUCACAAUUAUGGCCCAAAAAGGCAUUUAUGCCUCACUGGUCAAAGUAUAUAGUUUUCUCUUUGCUAUUCACCACUGCAGAUGGCAUGAAAAAGAUACCUUGGGUUGUUGCUUGCGAAGAUCAAGAAAAGCAAUUGCCAAAGGUCAGCAGCAUAUCACUUCUGGUGGGACUUCUGCAAGAAGAUGUGGCCGCAGAGAAAGGAAAAGAAAUAAAUGGAGAAUUUUCACAGAGGAGGCAUAGAUGGAGUCACACAUACAUGAAUACAUAUGUGCUAAUGCAGAAAAAGAUGGGCUGUAGAGUAACCUCUUCUCUUUCACCCAGGUAAAGCAAAACAACAGCGGCAAAUGUUGUGCGGAGCAUUCAUUUUCUGUCCAAAUGGUUUCGAUUCAGCAUUAUUUCAUCAAAAACCUGCAGCGUUCCUGAUGCGUAACCUGGGAAGCCCUUUGAAGACAAGACGUUUGGCCACUAGCAAGUAUCUCUCCUUUGCUGCUCUUUCAGAAAAAGGCAUCAAGGUGUGGAGCAAUCUUUGUCAGUGAUGGUGUGUACAGUGUGUGACUGCACAGGAACCGACUCCUCAGGCUUCCUGAAGGAACUGGAAUUAAAUUAGACUCUUCUCAGCCGGACCAGUUCUUUCACCCAGUUCAAGAUACAACUAUGGGCACAUCACAGAAAAAGUUGUAUGGAUGUGGAGACAAACAGCAGAAGUCAGGAUGCCUCACAUUGGCUGUCACGGCUGACAAAAUGUAUAUCAACUGAUGCUCCAGAGCUUCUAAAACAUAGCUUUCCAUUUCUUGUGGCAUGAACAGUCUGAAGAAAGAAGUGUCUCUGUGGUAGAAGUAGAAAUGCAAAAGAAAACUAGUUCCUGUCCCAAGAGCUGGAAGAAAAAGGAUCGGAGGAAGCAGUGGAAGGGACAGGGCACAAGAAAGAAAAGGAAAGAAACGCGGACGCUCGCACACAACUUCUUACAAUGGCUCCAGCAUGCCCUUCCAUUGGCAGGAAUCCUUUUGAUCAAAUCCUUGCCCUGGGCUGGAAGUGUUUUAAUGAGCAUACAGACAUCAUCUUUUUUUCCUAGGUCUAUUUUGUGUUCUUAAGGAUAGAUAAGUAAAGCGUGCACUUAAAUGAUCCUGUGAGUGCUUCUUAACUGUGCUCUAGAGGAAAGGCGUAGUGCUUGAAUGUGGAGGCUGAACAGCGCCAGCCUGAAGGACAAGGAAAAUAGCAGAGGAGGAAACUUGAGCUGAACUGAACUUGUUUUCUUUAACAUCUUAUUUUCUUUUGGAGAAGGAAUAAGCAGCAUGAAACACCUAGACAUCUGUUGGAUGAGGGGUGUUUUAUGGAGACUCCCAUGUCUUGCUGCUUUUCCCCAUAGAAUAUUCUGAAUUGAUAGGGACCCACAAGUAUCGUAGACUCAUAGAAUGGUUGAGUUGGAAGGGACCUUAAUGAUCAGUGAGCUCCAACUACCCUGCUGCAGGCUGGGUGCUCCCCACCAGCUCAGGCUGCCUAGAGCCCCAUUCGUGGCCUUGGGCACCUCCAGGGAUGGAGCACCCCCACUCUCUGGGCAGCAGAUGUAAGAAUUCUCAGAGGUGCAGUGGGAUUUCUGUCUUUGCAUGCUGGUAGGUGCCAGCCUGUGAGAGGCCCAGGGCUGAAGGAUGUAGAAGCACUGCCCACCAGUCCCUGCUCUCUCCACCAAAUGUGGGGCAGGUGUAGGACCCCAAAGGAGCUAUCCUUUAGUAGCAGCCCAAAUGUUGCUGAUUUGUGGAAAUGAGCCUGGGCUGCCAACCUGGCUCUUCUAGGAGCCCUGAAAGACUUUAAAUAUUAAAAAAUAAAGGUUGUACUUGAUAAAAGGCAAAUGUUUAGUUUGACACAUCUCAUUAUUCUAAGGAAUUUGCAGGAAAAGACAAACUUUGUUAGCCUGCCACAAAGUGCUAACAGUUUCUGGAAGUCAAUAAAGUGACCUGCUUGCCUUGGAAGGAAACAGUUAGCAGACUUCCAAUUUCCCAGCUAAGUUAUGAAGACGGGAUGCAGGAUGACGGAAGCCAAGAUGUCAAUGCAGAAGACACAGAGCCUUCCCCAGACCAGGAUGGCUAGAGUUGAAAGAACAUCAUGCCCUGACAGCAGCUGCCAAAAUCAAACCCUUUUUCAAUGUUUUUUUGAUGUGAAUCACAGGAGGUUUCACUACUGGGAUUUGCAUCCAAACAGGAAACCUGCAGAUUUCUUCAAAUCCUGGCGACAAAGGUACUGGUAGUGCCCUGAGCUGAUUGUUGCAGUGGUGUUAAUGAUGCUCUUUCAGUAGCUGAGUGCUGAUACUCCAUGACUUUGGCUCAGACAACAGAGAUAGCUGCCAUGAAUUGCCUUCUGGUAGUGCCCGUUCCUCUCAGUUGAUUACAAGAGGAUCCCCAAAUGCUAGAACAGGUCUUGAGCUGCCUGGAGAACAUGCUGUGGCACCCAACAUGGCCACACAGGAGGUCUCUGCCUGCCUCUGCUGUCCCUGAUGCCGAAGGAGGACAGGCUGUGCCGGACAAUUAUGUGAUCGUGACAAAGCCAAGUGACUCCCAGGGAUCAUCCACAAUGAUGAUGAGAGCCGGUGGGGAACACCAUGGAGGAGAAUGAAACAAUUACGAGCGUCUUUUAAAGGAAACUGUGAGAGAGAGGACUCCAGACGCUGCAGUGUGACAGCUAAACCAAGGAGCAUCGGAUGCAAUGGAAUUGCUCUACAAGCAACCUUGCCAAAGGCCCUUUUGCUGCACAAAGCUGGCUCUAUCUUUGUAUAUUGAGGGAACUAAAUCAAUGUUAAAUGCUUGGCUCUUUUCACAGGACAAUGACCAGGACCUAAGCUGCGUCCUUCCUAUUUGAUUGACACUUGAAACGUUGAGUUGGAAUCAGCCAGAGGCACUGCUACAAGCUUGAAGCCUCUGCUGGGGAUAACAACUGGUGACAUCUGCAGAAAGGCCGACAAAAGGCAGUUGAAAGCCGUGUUUGUUGCUUUCCCCUCUCAGAUCUCCUCUCUUUCAUGGAGCUCCUUACUUGCUUUAAUAUUAUGAUUCAGCACCUGGCUCUUUUGAACCUUGCUUUAAACUUCAAAAGGCGAGGUGGUAUUAACAAACAUGAAACGAAAAAGUGGCAGUAGUUUGAUUUACUGUUGUCGUCUUAUCAAGGGGGUUUUUUGUCACCAGCUGCCACUUUCUGUCAUCUUUGGAACCAUUAUCAUUUCUCUAAAAUCUAAAAGACUCCACUUAAUAACAGCUUUGAAUACAGGCAGGAUCAGUAACGUAUACAGUUCUGGGAUGACAGGGCCGUCAAAUGAAAAGAAAGAUGUUGCCAAAAAAAAAAAAAAAAUCCUUAAAGAAAAAAAAGCAAUAAAACAAAUAAAAGCCAUAGUACUUCUAAGUGACCUUGAUUUCAGAAUUAAACAAAUCAAGCACAAUUCCAUUGUUCUUUCUGGAUUAAUUCUGCACUUUCUUUGCAGUGUUUCUUUUUUGUUCUCAGGACUAAGGGAAAACAAAGCCAAGGCUUUCAGAAAACUGCUCGGCACACAACAAGCACUUGGUAUCACAUGAGUGCUGUAAGCUUCUCACUGUAAAACUGCCAGCGAUAAUUACUGGUCUCGUUUCCCCACCAUCCCAGCACAGCAACUCACAUUCAGGCUGAGCUGCCUUGCUAGUCAAAAAAACGGUCAACUCCCCUCUUAUAGUGCUGCUCCAUGCUUUCCUGCAGACCUUCCCAACAUGGUUGUGUUGGUCUUUGGGUGCCAAGGCAGAACCAAGUGCCUGGUCAAGUUUGCCCAUUGCAGCUGCUCACAUUAAGCCACAGGCAGUCAAAUAAACACAAUUUUCUAAAGUGCAAACUUACUGCACUUUCACACUUGUCGCCUUGCCAUUCUUUAUGGGAAACUCACUCUGAUCCCUUUGUUUUAUAAUGGUAUGCACAAUUAACUCAUCUGAAGGUAGAAAUUUCUCCCACUGCCUUCUAAACUCAUGGAUAAAUGAUGGACAAGCCAUCACAAGCAGUGACUUUUAAUUUGCACAAAUUGGAACCUGCACUUCUGUGCAUCUUAAUAGUUACUUCCACUUGUGCAAAAAUAGUGAAACCAACUGCAAAAACCAAAGGAUCCCCUCCACUCUCCCCAUUGAUGUGUCCUCCCUCCCCUCAGUUAUGUGUAAAUCCAGGCAAUGGGAUCCAACACGUGGUCUCCCAUUGGCCUCUUCCAGACCUGUUCAACCACAGGAAUCUGGGGGAGAUUUAUGCCAGAACAUCUUCCUAAAACAGUGAUGGAAACAACAAAAUGAAAAUAUUCAUAGAAGUGAAAGUGCUGAUGUCUUGACCAGUGAAAACACAGGAUUGCAAGACUCCAAAGUUGGUUGAUUUUUUAUGGACUGGGAUGCGACAAAACUCAUGAAAUUGAGAUGGAGAUUGCUAAAAAUACCUAUUAUCCUCUGACAGAAGCACUCACUGUAUAACGAUAAUGAGGUUUUUUCACAGAGCAUGUCCAGAUUUGAAAGUUUAGUCAUUUUAACAAGUGUUAAUUACUGCAUGCUAACCAGCAGAAGUGUGUGGGGGAGAUGUUUUAUAUUUAUUUGUUCCAGACUUGGAACAUAUUAGAAAGCAGGCUCCCUUCCAGGUUACUGUGGUAUGAAUGAAUACGUUACCCAACUACAAAUGAAAAAUACUGCAAGAAGAAAUAAGGACUUUUCCCCAGCAUAUUUCUUUGAAGAGAAGACCGAGAAUAUGUUUAGUCUAUUACAUCAAGUGGAAAUCUUAGCCUGACCCUACUAAAAGUGCGUGUAGCACACAGAUACCAGAGCAGUGUGUCUGUGGGAGGUACUUUUAGGUUUAUCCAUGAAAAAAUGAGAUAUUCUGAAAGAAAGAACAUACAUGGGAAAUUAUCGGUGCAGUUGGAUCAGUCUCCCUGCAUGCUUUAGUAUGAUGCUGGAGAAGAGGAGAAGACUGUGUAACACAUAUACAUUUAUAAAUAUAUAUAUAGUUUAUGUGUAAUUCACUUGUUGUAUGUUGAGUACAUCCAUUCAUA
ensembl:lncRNA